UACGUAGGGGGCAAGCGUUGUCCGGAAUCAUUGGGCGUAAAGCGCGCGUAGGCGGCCCUGUAAGUCCGCUGUAAAAGUCAAAGGCUCAACCUUUGAAAGCCGGUGGAUACUGCAGGGCUAGAGUCCGGAAGAGGCGAGUGGAAUUCCUGGUGUAGCGGUGGAAUGCGCAGAUAUCAGGAGGAACACCAAUAGCGAAGGCGGCUCGCUGGGACGGUACUGACGCUAAGGCGCGAAAGCGUGGGAGCGAACAGG
rnacentral:rRNA from 1 species